UUUGUAAGAACACCACAGAGACAAUAUCUUAUGCAGUUAUGUGGUUAAGAGACUACCGAUAAAAAAAACAGACUAGUGUUUCUUCCACUAUAAAUGCUAGCCAAUAAAAACUUUCCAGUCUACAGUUGAUUAAUACUUGACACCAGAUCUAUGGAAAGAAAAGCUAAUCGUUGCUGACUAUUAGCUAAAGCAACAGACGCACUAAGAAAAUGCCUAGUAUCACUGCUGUUAACUAUGACAACUGAUUUUUCAGUUUAGCUCCACUAUAGUUCUAAACAGAAAAAUGCAAUACUAUCUUUUCUAGGAGCUACUGUUCUCAUAAUCUAUAAUAGUUAAACAGGUGUUACUCACUGUCCUGUAGUGUUGAAAUAUAUUCACAGGGAAUUUUAAAAACCAUAAACAUUUUUACUAGCUUCAGGAAGCUAGUAAAUUUGAACAAGUGAUUCUUUUUCAACUGUCCUAAUGUAAUGGUGAAUGGUCUCUUUUCUAACUUCGAUAUCCAAAUGAUUUAUAGUUAUAACUACUAGAACAAUAACAAUCAAGAGGAUGGGUAGUGGAGGGAGUAGCGAAUGGAUUCUUAAAUAUCUCCUUUUAGAGCAUCUAAGAGGAGCUAUGUUCCCAAACACUAAAAAUGUCUUUGUGUUCAGAACAUAAAAACUUAAAAACAGGAAAAAAAAAAAAAAAAAGCCUUAAAAACAGUGUGAACAAAAUGUAAACAGAUGAAAAUACGCAUUUUUCUUUUUUUCUAAGAGAGAGAGAGGAGCAAAGGGAGAGGAACCAGAUGACUCUGCGCCCAGCACAGAGCUAGAUCCCAGGACCCCAGAUCCUGACCUGAGGCAAAAUCAAGAGUCGGCCAUUUACUGGACUCAGCCACCCAGGCAGCCCAAGUAUGCAUUUUUCAAUGAAGAACUUUGCUAGUACUCUUUUCAGGAUUAAGUUCAAGGAUUCUAAAAAUUCAAAAUGCCUGCAAAAUGAGACCAUGAGACAAACUAGAAAUGCAAGAGAAAAAAGACAGUUUUUUUACUCGCAUUAAAUGUUAACAUGUUUAAAAGCUUUAGAAAUCAGCACCUGAAACAAAUUAGAAAAAGAUAACUUAAAAACUAGUGUUAAAUGUUAGGACAAUGUUCUAAAAGCUACAGAAAAGUCCUGAGAUGUCUCUAUUUACAAAAAGUUCUGGCCAAAUUAAGAACCACCAUAUUAACACUAUGAUCACGUUAAUGGUUCAGACUACAGUGAAACUUUACAAGCAAGGGGGAAGGGCCUCACAUACAACCCUAUUGUUAAGAGCCCUGUCUACAGACCCUAAUUAAACAAAAGUGUCAAGUACUCCUCUCAAAAUCCCUUGUAGUGGUGGGCCUGAACAGCAGAAAGCAGAACAGACCAUUUAAGAGUCCAGGGUUUGGGAAGACAAGUGACUAUACCACAAGGUGGUAAUUACACCGUGGGGAAGUAAAAAAAAGCCAGACUGAAGGGCUCCAAGAGGUACUUCAAAACCAGCUAAUCAUGGCAAGAAGAGGUGGGACAAAUUGGCUUCUCAACUGGCUAUCCAUGGGGACAUAAAAAGACCCUGGGCCUCCAAAGCAAGAAUAAACAAAGGUGACUACUAAUGGCCAAGAUGACACUAGAUACAUCCAUUACAUACCAAUGUCCCCACAGUAAUAAAGGCCAAACAUAUAUUCACCCAUCUCCAAUUCAGCCCAAAAACCUGAGAAAGCAGAAGAGAGGCUUCUCCAGUUGGCAAACCAGUGUUCUUGAACUGUCCACAGCAAAGACCUGGUAGUCAGAACACCUAGGUUUUCCUGCCAACAGUCCCUAUCUUGGAGGGGAAACCGCUUAAUCUUUUGUAGACCAUAUGCUCAGCUGAAAAAUAGGGAAAAUAUGCUUUUCUCUGACUUCAAAAGAUUAUAAAACAGGACUAUAUAUGUGAAAAUGCUCUGAAUAAAAUCACACUAUUUUUACAACAUUUUAACCCUAGAAACACGGUUUAACUCAUAAGCUAAACGCUAUAUAAGGGCAGGUUGCUCCUUUCCCUCAUGAACUUUAGGAUCUAAAAUGUUUAAGUAUUAGCAAGGCUACAAUGAAAGCCACUAGAUACCUGAAGAAGACAGAAAAACAGAAGCAGGGCAUUGUGGGGACAUUGAGCACAGGGGGCAAUAACUGUAUUUAUCUCACUUUGUCCUAAGGGAAUCAUUAUGCACUAGGUAAGACUAUUCCUAAAAGGAACGCUGCUACCAAUAAAUGGUUAAAUUACAGUUCAUGUGAUUUUCUUUUAAAACUCAGGGAAAUGGGGCAAUGGGUGGCUCAGUCUCUGGGUAUCCGACUCUUGAUUUUGGCUCAAGUUAUGGUACCAGAGUCAUGAGAUGGAGCCCCACUUACGGCUCACAAUAGGCAUGGAGCCUGCUUGAGAUUCUCUCUCUCUCGCCGUCCCCAGCCCCUCCUCCUCCUUCCUUCUCUCAUAAAUAAAUAAAUAAAUAAAUAAAUAAAUAAAUAAAUAAAUAAAUCUUAAAAAUAAAAAAAAUAAAAAUCAGGGAAAAAAAGGAAAAGAUUACCUUGUAAAAAAAAAAAAUGGGAUAAAUAUGUUAUUGCCCUUAGAAUGGUAAGCACUUAUUAUUAGUGGAAAUGGAAAUAGGUGGCAAAGUCACAAAAAUGCUUCUCAAACUGGGGUUUAGGAACCUUUAGAGGCAUGUGGGAUUGGAAGGGAAAGGGGUGAACCAGAGGUCAUCAGGGUGUUGUAAAUAGUAAAUGUGAUCGAUAAUGCACUGAGCAGCUUGCAAAAAUGUUCAGAUAGUGGACAUCUGUUGGUUUUAUCAGCCCUGCAUUCACUCCCCUGCUGGGGAACACACCGCCUCCCCUUCAGUAGGUAUUCUCUUGGUGAAGCAGGAAACAAGGUACCUUCCAGGACCCAAGCUGACCCUAAGAUACACUCUCAGUAGAUAGUGGAGUUACAAAGAGUUGGAAAGGUUAGUAAGGCCAGGACCCUGUGAACCCUCUCCAUUGAACCCUGGUUCUUCAGCUCUAUUGUCAAUUCGGGGAGCUACACCACAUCCUUCCAGUAAACUCCUUUCUUGCUUAGGGUAGGCCAAUUUUGUUUCUACUACUUACAACUAAGAUCUUUAGCUGAUUAGUUAUUAUCUUUGGUCUAGGAGAAUCCAUUUUCUCAAAGAUUUGGGAAGUAAAAUUUGACAAGUAAUUUUAAAACAUUAGUUUUCUGGUAAAAUAAAGGGAAGUAUCAUGGAGUAGAAUACAGACUUCAUAUAAAAUUUUAAGAUGUUCUAUUUUUCUUUUGAGAUUUCUAAAGAUAUGCUUCCUUCCCCUCCCUCCCCACUCAAGUUUCUUUAGCAAUGGAUUUAAGAAGCACUGGUAUAGGGAUAUACUUUCCUUAACUUUUAGGAUCUGCCCCUAACUAGGUAAAAGAUCUAGGGCAAGUUACAUAACCUCCCUAAGGCUCACUUAUCACAACUUUAAAAUGGGAGUAAUAAUAGUACCCACCUCAUAGAGCUGUUAUCCAAAGAGAUAACACAGGGAAGCACUUAACCUUGUUUGCAAUCAUGGCAAAUAAGGGUUAAUAUACAAUAGCCAGAAUCACACUGUUCGAAAAGAUAGACACCAGAAUACCACUGCCUCUCCUCACUGCUGUCAGCAAGCCUUUUGAUACGUACUUUGCAGUACCUCUCAUCAAAAGGUGGUGCCUACUUUCAACCCUUAAAUCCAGACUGGGCUUAUGGCUGGCCUUGAUCAACAGAAUGUGGCAGAGUGACCCUGUGUGACUUCUGAGCCUAGGCCUCAAGAAGCCCUGCAGCUCUCACCUUGAAACACAAAGUCUCCAUAUGAGGAAAUCUAGUCUAGCUGCUGGAAAAAGAGAUGGUGUGGUGGUCAGAUGAGUUGUCCCAGCUAGAUCCCUAGACCAACUAGCUCACUGGAGAUUUCAGAUGACAAUAGCCACAUUAAUGACCUCAGGCCAAACAAGAGCAAUGGAAGAACUGCCCUGCCCU
rnacentral:lncRNA from 1 species